AUCCAUCUGACGAGUUCCAAAUAGAACGAAACACAUGUCAAACUGGAU
rfam:Schistosoma haematobium scaffold631_18, whole genome shotgun sequence.